rnacentral:rRNA from 1 species
GAUGAACGCUGGCGGCGUGCCUAAUACAUGCCAGUCGAGCGAACGGACGAGAAGCUUGCUUCUCUGAUGUUAGCGGCGGACGGGUGAGUAACACGUGGAUAACCUACCUAUAAGACUGGGAUAACUUCGGGAAACCGGAGCUAAUACCGGAUGAUAUUUUGAACCGCAUGGUUCAAAAGUGAAAGACGGUCUUGCUGUCACUUAUAGAUGGAUCCGCGCUGCAUUAGCUAGUUGGUAGGGUAACAGCUUACCAAGGCAACGAUGCAUAGCCGACCUGAGAGGGUGAUCGGCCACACUGGAACUGAGACACGGUCCAGACUCCUACGGGAGGCAGCGGUAGGGAAUCUUCCGCAAUGGGCGAAAGCCUGACGGAGCAACGCCGCGUGAGUGAUGAAGGUCUUCGGAUCGUAAAACUCUGUUAUUAGGGAAGAACAUAUGUGUAAGUAACUGUGCACAUCUUGACGGUACCUAAUCAGAAAGCCACGGCUAACUACGUG